UACGGAGGGUGCGAGCGUUAUCCGGAAUCACUGGGUUUAAAGGGUGCGUAGGCGGCUCGGUAAGUCAGUUGUGAAAGCCCCUUGCUUAACGAGGGAGGUGCGAUCGAUACUGUCGAGCUUGAAUCGGGAUGAGGCAGGCGGAAUGUGGCAUGUUGCGGUGAGAUGCAUAGAUAUGCCAUAGAACACCGAUUGCGAAGGCAGCCUGCUGGGCCUGUAUUCACGCUGAGGCACGAAAGCGUGGGGAGCAAACAGG
rnacentral:rRNA from 1 species